rnacentral:rRNA from 1 species
GGGUGAUCUGCCCUGCACUUCGGGAUAAGCCUGGGAAACUAGGGUCUAAUACCGGAUAGGAGCCAUCUUUAGUGUGGUGGUUGGAAAGUUUUUCGGUUGUAGGAUGAGCUCGCGGCCUAUCAGCUUGUUGGUGGGGUAAUGGCCUACCAAGGCGGCGACGGGUAGCCGGCCUGAGAGGGUGUACGGCCACAUUGGGACUGAGAUACGGCCCAG